AGAGAGAGGACCGAGGAGGAGGGCAGCUGUGGCCGAGAGGGCAGUUUGGGCACACUGCAUUUUUCCCUAGGAAAAGAACUAUUUUGGUUUGCUUGUUGCUGCUGCUGCUGCUUGGUUUAUUUCUCCCCUCGUAAGAGAGAUGUCAACACAAAACACGGAGAGAUCCUGGAACCUUUGCUUCUGAUUGUCCAAACGCAAUUCUUGUUCUGGAAUACAAACCAAGAAUUGUGUCUGGACAUCUGUGGCCGAGUCUUCAACUUCAUCAUCAACUCGCUCGCGUCGGCCUUCCGAGACGCAGAACAGCAUCCGAACGAGCUCCUUCGGGUCUACGGCAAGCAAGAUAGGAGAGUCUUUUACUGAAGACUGCCUCCAAGUUUGAUGCAGCCAUUUCACAGAUGAGUCUUCCAGCUGCUAGAGCCACAAAACAGACAAGGCUUCAGUGCAAGAAGAAGUAAAACAUCUACCGAUACAGCCUCAACAGGGAAAUCCUGUCCAUGUGUAAAUCAAUGGGAUUUACUUCCAGGAAACUUCCACAGAUUUCUGCUUAGCACCCUGGUACUAACUCAUUCUGCCAUUUGUGCCACUUUCGAGGUCAGAUAAGGAGAUGGAGCGCAGCAUCGGAAGAAGAGGCUCACAAACGCAGAUCUCACAAAAAUCAAGCCUAAUUCAUUCGAAAAGGUUAAAUGCAAUUAAAGUGAAACACUGAAACAUUAUUUAAUUUUUUUAAAAAAAUAUACACCUGGGGUCUCUUAAUUCUUAUAUCACUAGCAUAGAUGAUGGGAGUUGUAGUCCAACAUCUGGGGAAUCAAGGCUGAGGAAGGCUGACCUGGAGGAUUGAGCCUGGGACCUUCUGCAUGCAUAGCAGGUGCUCUUCCACAAAGCUGUGUGUCCCUUAUGUACUCAGAGCAUAGCUGUCAACCUUCCCUUUUUUUGCAGGAAAUUCCCUUAUUUCAGUGCCAUUUCCCGCUGCU